AAUGAACGUUGGCGGCGUGGAUUAGGCAUGCAAGUCGUGCGGCAGCAGGCCCCGCAAGGGGUGCUGGCGAGCGGCGAAAGGGAUAGUAAUGUGUGGAUACCUGCCCUGGGGACGGGGAUAGCUGCUGGAAACGGCAAUUAAUACCCGAUGAUGUCUCCGGACCAAAGGUGUAAUUCCGCCCUAGGAGGGGUCCACAUCCUAUUAGCUAGUUGGUGAGGUAACGGCUCACCAAGGCCACGAUGGGUAGCGGGUGUGAGGGCACGACCCGCAUCACUGGGACUGAGACACUGCCCAGACACCUACGGGUGGCUGCAGUCGAGGAUCUUCGGCAAUGAGCGAAAGCUUGACCGAGCGACGCCGCGUGCGGGAUGAAGGCCUUCGGGUUGUAAACCGCUUUCGGAGGGGAGGAAAUCUAGGGGGGAUCACCCUUCUAGUUGACCUAUCCUAGGAAGAAGGACGGGCUAAGUUCGUGCCAGCCGCCGCCGUAAUAC
rnacentral:rRNA from 1 species